GGAAGGAUCAUUAUCGAAAUAAACUUGAACAGGCUGUUGCUGGUUCCUUUCAGGAGGGGCAUGUGCACGCUUGUCAUCUUUAUCAUUUCUCCAACUGUGCACAUAACUGUAGACCUGGGGGCUUUCUUUUUGGAACUCGUUCCGAGUUGGGACUGCUGUGCUUCAUCCGAGAGGUCGGCUUUGCCCUUUGCAUUUUCCAGGUCUAUGUCAUUUAUUUCACAACCUCUGUGUAAAAUGGUUUAGAAUGAUUGAACAAUAUAAAAAAAGUUAAUACAACUUUCAGCAACGGAUCUCUUGGCUCUCGCAUCGAUGAAGAACGCAGCGAAAUGCGAUAAGUAAUGUGAAUUGCAGAAUUCAGUGAAUCAUCGAAUCUUUGAACGCAUCUUGCGCUCCUUGGUAUUCCGAGGAGCAUGCCUGUUUGAGUGUCAUUCGACUUGUCAACCACAUCAAUUGCAAUGUGGCUUGGAUGUGGGGGUUCUUGCAGGCUCUCUCUUUCAUGAGGUCUGCUCCCCUGAAAUGCAUUAGUGGUAUCUGAGCAGAACUACUACCGUCAGGUGUGAUAAAUUAUCUAUGCCUUUGGGUAUGCUGCAUGAACAGAUUGUGCCGCUCAUAAUGAUUGUUUGACGAAUUUGACCUCAAAUCAGGUAGGACUACCCGCUGAACUUAAGCAUAUCAAUAAGCGGAGGAAAAGAAACUAACAAGGAUUCCCCUAGUAACUGCGAGUGAAGCGGGAAAAGCUCAAAUUUGAAAUCUGGUGGUCCUUGACCAUCCGAGUUGUAAUCUAGAGAAGUGUUACCUGUGCUGGACCGUGUAAAAGUCUUCUGGAAUGAAGCAUCACAGAGGGUGAGAAUCCCGUCUUUGACAU
rnacentral:rRNA from 1 species